rnacentral:rRNA from 1 species
UACGUAGGGGGCGAGCGUUGUCCGGAUUUACUGGGCGUAAAGCGCGCGUAGGCGGAGCGUUAAGCGUGGCUUGAAAGCCCCCGGCUCAACCGGGGAAGGUGGCUGCGAACUGGCGCUCUUGAGGGCGAUAGAGGGGGGCGGAAUUCCUGGUGUAGCGGUGAAAUGCGUAGAGAUGUGGAGGAACACCGAUGGCGAAGGCAGCCCCCUGGGCUGAGAUUGACGCUCAGGCACGAAAGCGUGGGGAGCAAACAGG